UCGGCUCUAUUGUCAGGAACACAAACCAAGGUCAUUUCAGGAAAGUGCAGCAGCGUGCGGCUGUGGGCGAUGCCGAGAGAGGAAACACACAGAAGAAGAAGGGGCUGCCUUUUGCUGCCUUUUCUGAACGGGAGACAAAAGCCUCCCAGGAAAUGGGAAGUCCCCCACAGCUGCUCUGCAGAUAAGCCCCAGGAGCUUUAGGCACGAAGGGCUGCAAGAGCAAACGUGUUGGUGGCCAUGACCUUGCACAGAAAUGGAAGGGAGCUUGUCCCUUCCUGCCAAAAAGGACUCCCUUUGGGCUCCCAGUGCUUUUUCUGUGAGCAUGAGCAGUCCCCAGAGAAGAGGAGGAGACACUGGAAGUGGUUGGACAAGGUUGUCAGUGACAGCAAUGCUGUCCUCCCUGAAUGUCUGUGACUGUCCUGACCUAACCAUUGGAUCCACCCAGUUCUUGGCUUCAGCAGAGCSCUGCUGUGGGGAGCAGAUCCAUGCAGCACCACCAACUGCAGCUCAUCACCCCCUCUUUGCUAAGUGACCCCCACAUCAGAGAUCCUGCCUCAUUUAUUUCCAGGGAAAAUAAAYUGUACAUUUCAGGGAAUGUAAAA